UUCCUUUUCUUUCUUCUCCUUCUGCAGACCACGUUCUGUCUUUCUUUUCUUUUUCUUUUCAUUUUCUUGUUGGUUGUGGGUGAGCUUGAGGGAGAAAGGAGGAAGAGUUUUUUUCCGGUUCUUGCCUGAUCGUUGCUCUGUUCGUUGCUACGCGUAGGCCUCGAGGCGAUGGAGAGCCUUCCGCUGAAGCUUAGCUGUUCAAGUUGGAGACCGUGACCGUGGGCGGUCGAGUAGAGGUGGAUGAAGCAGUUGCUUCUCCCUUUUUGGUGGACUAUGUCUGAGUUUCUUUUUCCUUCUGAAAACUCUGUUGUUUAAACCUUAUAUUCGCCACUUGUCUAAGUGAGCGUACUUACUUUGGAAACUUGUUCAUGAUGAUGUAUGACACUAUUAUUAUUAUGUUGGGAAUGGGUUGUUGAAUAAAGUCUAUGUUAUAUAUUCAAUUA